GUGGGGAAUAUUGGACAAUGGGCGAAAGCCUGAUCCAGCCAUGCCGCGUGUGUGAAGAAGGUCUUCGGAUUGUAAAGCACUUUAAGUUGGGAGGAAGGGCAGUAAGUUAAUACCUUGCUGUUUUGACGUUACCGACAGAAUAAGCACCGGCUAACUUCGUGCCAGCAGACGCGGUAAUACGAAGGGUGCAAGCGUUAAUCGGAAUUACUGGGCGUAAAGCGCGCGUAGGUGGUUUUGUAAGUUGGAGGUGAAAUCCCCGGGCUCAACCUGGGGACUGCCUCCAAAACUGCAGGACUAGAGUACGGUAGAGGGUAAUGGAAGUUCCUGUGUAGCGGUGAAAUGCGUAGAUAUAGGAAGGAACACCAGUGGCGAAGGCGACUACCUGGACUGAUACUGACACUGAGGUGCGAAAGCGUGGGGAGCAAACAGGAUUAGAAACCCGAGUAGUCC
rnacentral:rRNA from 1 species